rnacentral:sRNA from 1 species
CCUCGAGGUCGUAGCCACUCGACUAAGAAAUGUAAAACGGAGAUUUGGUGUGCAGAAAUUUCAGUUGAGAGACGCGGUUUAGGAGAGCUUUGGGGAAGAUUUAGUUUUAGUUUUCGAGAUAGUUUUAUAUAUAUUUUUUUGUGGGAGUUUUUUUGAACAUCUUGAAUCUGAUUUCAAGAGAUAAUACACAAAAUU